GCUGACACCACUUGAAGAUAAGCCCGUUCCUCUCUCUGGGUCAAGCCUGCAAUACCUAAAGCUCCAGACCUGGAACCCAAAGCUCCCAUCAGUCGCUACCCUGUGAACCUGUGGAGGAUCUGAAGUACCUGUUUAAAAGGCAUCCAAAAGAUAGAAUCUAUCAAGCUACAAAUGGCUAUGUUGCCUGAAGCCCCAGACAUCAUCCUACAAGAAAUAAGUCCAGACUUCUUAAUUUCCCCCUGGAUAGAGCAGGGUAAGAGUUCUGUGGUCCCCUGUUAGGUGGGGCCAGCAGUCCCACUCAGCUGGAAGCAAGUAUAGAAGAAAGAACUUCAACCCUCAGCAACCUAUUAUGAUUUAUGGGGAUCACAUCUCUCAGAGGGAAUUGAGGCAGGAGAAUAGGGAAGGAAGUCAGAAAAUCAACCUGCAGCCUUUUCUCACCAAAACAAGCAUAAGGCACCAUCUGAUAAGGAAGCUGAAGCAAUGAACCAAUGCUUUCUGCAGUAAACAAAUCUGGUAUAACCUUUUAUUAUAAUAAGUUACUUAAAGCCCAUACAUAUGGAAUGCAUAUCAUACAUACACUUAAAAUUAUGGAAUGGCAAGCACAUGCAGGCGCACUGAGAGAGAAAACCAACAAGAAAACUGAUAUGUCAAUUAUAGGCAACCUCCUCCCUAAAAGUUAAGUAAGAGUAGUAAGGUGGUAUAAAAGAACAAAGGCUAUGUUAACCCAGGGCUGAUACCACUCGCGGAUCAGCCCAUUCUUCUCUCUGGAACAUUCUUUGCUUAAUACAUCUUGUGGGGUCAUUAUUUGUGUGUCUCCUCCAAUUCUUUGUUUGCAACACCAAGAACCUGGAAAUCCAACUUCCAAUCUGGUAACACUUCUACUCUAAAAAUGUGCUUACUCUUUGUAUAGCAUGUAACUGCUCUAUUGGUUGUACCCAUUCAUAUAUUAAUGUUUCCACUUUUUAUGCCUCCUCUGUUUUUCUCAUGCCUUAAUGAGCUGUUUUAUGGAAUUUCUAGGAGGCAAUGAGUUGAGUUCUAUAGAUGACUUUUGUACAUCUUGCACAUGUACAAUUUAACACUUUUUUGUGAACAACAGAUAUCUUUUUUGAAAAGAGGUAGUCAUAGAUUAAUAUCAUAGCAAAAUGGCUGUGCAACGGCCAUCCAGUCAAGAUUACUCUUUAGCUUCCCUUUGCCCCAAGCACAUACCAAUUAGAAAAUGUAAAAAUAAAACCCAAAAAAGAAAUGCAAAAAGGUGAGUAGGAUGAAAGCCAUUAGUGAGCUUUGUUCCAAGUGACAUGGAAGACCAGAGUCAAGGUCACUGCUGAACUUCAAGGCCUGAGGUCAGGGUCCCUGGAUGUUUUAGGCAGUUCUCACAUUGCUAUAAAGAAAUACCUGAGACUGGGUAAUUUAAAAAGAAAAGAGGUUCAACUGACUUACUAGCAAACUGAAUUCAACAACACAUUUAAAAGAUCAUUACGACCAAAUGGGAUUUACCCCAGGGAUGCAAGGAUGGUUCAACAUAUGCAAAUCAAUGUGAUACAUCACAUUAACAGAAUGAAGGACAAAAACUAUAUGAUUAUUUCAGUUGAUGCUGAAAAAGCACUUGAUAAAAUUCAAUAUCCCUUCAUGGAAACCCUCAAAGGGCCAGGCACAGUGGCUCACACCUGUAAUCCCAGCACUUUGGUAGGCUGAGGUGGGCAGAUUGCUUGAGCCCAAGAGUUGGAGACCAGCCUGCACAACAAGGUGAAAUCCCAUCUCUACAAAAAAAUACAAAAGUUAGCCAGGUGUGAUGGUACACACCUGUAGUCCCAGCUACUUGGGAAGCCGAGAUGAGAGGAUUGCUUCAGGUCAGGAGGUCAAGGCUUCAGUGAAGAGAUCACACCACUGCAUUCCAGCCUGGGCAACAAAGUGAGACCCUUUCUCAAAAAAGAAUCUCAAAAAACUGGGUAUAGAAGGAACUACCUUUACAUAAUAAAAGCCACAGCUUGUAUCAUACUAAAAGAGAGAAAAAACCUUUCCUGUAAGAUCUAGAACAUGACAAGGAUGCCCUCUUUCACCACUGUUGUUCAACAUAGUGCUGGAAGUCUUAGCUAGAGAAUUUCAGAGAAGAGAACAAAAUAAAGAGCAUUCAAAUCGGAAAUGAAGAGGUCAAAUUAUCCUUGUUUGCAGAUGAUAUGAUCUUAUAUUUGGAAAAACCUAAAGACUCCACCAAAAAAGUAUUAGAACUGAUAAAUUCAGUAAAGCUGUGUGAUACAAAAUCAACUUAUGAAAAUCAGUAGCAUUUCCACAUGCCAACAGUGAACAAUCUAAAAAAGAAUUUUAAAAGUUAUCCCACUUACAAUAGCUACAAAUAAAAUUAGAUACCUAGGAAUUACCUUAAUUAAAGAAGUGAAAGAUUGCUACAAUUCAAAACUAUAAAACAUGUGAUGAAAGAAAUUGAAGAGGACACACAAAAAUGGAAGGAUAUUCCAUGUUCAUGAAUUGGAAGAAUAAAUAUUGUUAAAAUGUCCAUAAUACUUAAAGUAAUCUAAAAUUCAGCCCCUGAUAUUCAACGUGGGUCCUUUUCUAUUUUCCCUAAGUGAUGGCCAGUCUGAGAAAUAAAGGGAAAGAGUACAAAAGAGAGAAAUUUUAAAGCUGGGUGUCCAGGGGAGACAUCACAUGUCGGCAGUUUCCAUGAUGCCCCCCAAGCUGCAAAACCAGCAAGUUUUUAUUAGUGAUUUCCAAAGGGGAGGGAGUGUACAAAUAGGGUGUGGGUCACAGAGAUCUCAUGCUUCACAAGGUAAUAAAAUAUUACAAGGCAAAUGGAGGCAGGGUGAGAUCACAGGACUGGGGUGAAAUUAAAAUUGCUAAUGAAGUUUCGGGCAUGCAUUGUCAUUGAUAACAUCUUAUCAGGAGACAGGGUUUGAGAGCAGACAACCGGUCUGAUCAAAAUUUAUUAGGUGGGAAUUUC
rnacentral:lncRNA from 1 species